GUGGGGAAUAUUGGACAAUGGGCGCAAGCCUGAUCCAGCCAUGCCGCGUGAGUGAUGAAGGCCUUAGGGUUGUAAAGCUCUUUUGUCCGGGAAGAUAAUGACUGUACCGGAAGAAUAAGCCCCGGCUAACUUCGUGCCAGCAGCCGCGGUAAUACGAAGGGGGCUAGCGUUGUUCGGAAUCACUGGGCGUAAAGCGCACGUAGGCGGACCAUUAAGUCAGGGGUGAAAGCCUGUAGCUCAACUCCAGAACUGCCUUUGAUACUGAUGGUCUCGAGUAUGGAAGAGGUUGGUGGAACUGCGAGUGUAGAGGUGAAAUUCGUAGAUAUUCGCAAGAACACCGGUGGCGAAGGCGGCCAACUGGUCCAUUACUGACGCUGAGGUGCGAAAGCGUGGGGAGCAAACAGGAUUAGAUACCCUAGUAGUCC
rnacentral:rRNA from 1 species